AUUGAACGCUGGCGGCAUGCCUUACACAUGCAAGUCGAACGGUAACGGGGCAACCUGGUGGCGAGUGGCGAACGGGUGAGUAAUACAUCGGAACGUGCCCAAUCGGGGGGGAUAACGUAGCGAAAGUUACGCUAAUACCGCAUACGAUCUACGGAUGAAAGCGGGGGAUCGCAAGACCUCGCGCGAAUGGAGCGGCCGAUGUCAGAUUAGGUAGUUGGUGGGGUAAAGGCUCACCAAGCCGACGAUCUGUAGCUGGUCUGAGAGGACGACCAGCCACACUGGGACUGAGACACGGCCCAGACUCCUACGGGAGGCAGCAGUGGGGAAUUUUGGACAAUGGGCGCAAGCCUGAUCCAGCCAUUCCGCGUGCAGGAUGAAGGCCUUCGGGUUGUAAACUGCUUUUGUACGGAACGAAACGGCGAGCUCUAAUACAGCUUGCUAAUGACGGUACCGUAAGAAUAAGCACCGGCUAACUACGUGCCAGCAGCCGCCGUAAUAC
rnacentral:rRNA from 1 species